rnacentral:rRNA from 1 species
GACGAACGCUGGCGGCGUGCCUAAUACAUGCAAGUAGAACGCUGAAGGAGGAGCUUGCUUCUCUGGAUGAGUUGCGAACGGGUGAGUAACGCGUAGGUAACCUGCCUGGUAGCGGGGGAUAACUAUUGGAAACGAUAGCUAAUACCGCAUAAUAGUAGAUGUUGCAUGACAUUUGCUUAAAAGGUGCAAUUGCAUCACUACCAGAUGGACCUGCGUUGUAUUAGCUAGUUGGUGGGGUAACGGCUCACCAAGGCGACGAUACAUAGCCGACCUGAGAGGGUGAUCGGCCACACUGGGACUGAGACACGGCCCAGACCCCUACGGGAGGCAGCAGUAGGGAAUCUUCGGCAAUGGACGGAAGUCUGACCGAGCAACGCCGCGGGAGUGAAGAAGGGUUUCGGAUCGGAAAGCUCGGUUGUAAGAGAAGAACGAGUGUGAGAGUGGAAAGUUCACACUGUGACGGUAUCUUACCAGAAAGGGACGGCUAACUACGUG